rnacentral:rRNA from 1 species
CCUACGGGAGGCAGCAGUGAGGAAUAUUGGUCAAUGGACGAGAGUCUGAACCAGCCAAGUAGCGUGAAGGAUGACUGCCCUAUGGGUUGUAAACUUCUUUUAUAUGGGAAUAAAAUGUUCCACGUGUGGGAUUUUGUAUGUACCAUAUGAAUAAGGAUCGGCUAACUCCGUGCCAGCAGCCGCGGUAAUACGGAGGAUCCGAGUGUUAUCCGGAUUUAUUGGGUUUAAAGGGAGCGUAGGUGGAUUGUUAAGUCAGUUGUGAAAGUUUGUGGCUCAACCGUAAAAUUGCAGUUGAAACUGGCAGUCUUGAGUACAGUAGAGGUGGGCGGAAUUCGUGGUGUAGCGGUGAAAUGCUUAGAUAUCACGAAGAACUCAGAUUGCGAAGGCAGUUCACUGGACUGCAACUGACACUGAGGCUCGAAAGUGUGGGUAUCAAACAGGAUUAGAUACCCUAGUAGUC